rnacentral:rRNA from 1 species
CCUACGGGGGGCAGCAGUGGGGAAUAUUGGACAAUGGGGGGAACCCUGAUCCAGCCAUGCCGCGUGUGUGAAGAAGGCCCUCGGGUUGUAAAGCACUUUCAGUGAGGAAGAACGCCUGGUGGUUAAUACCCAUCAGGAAAGACAUCACUCACAGAAGAAGCACCGGCUAACUCCGUGCCAGCAGCCGCGGUAAUACGGAGGGUGCGAGCGUUAAUCGGAAUUACUGGGCGUAAAGCGCGCGUAGGUGGCUUGAUAAGCCGGUUGUGAAAGCCCCGGGCUCAACCUGGGAACGGCAUCCGGAACUGUCAAGCUAGAGUGCAGGAGAGGAAGGUAGAAUUCCCGGUGUAGCGGUGAAAUGCGUAGAGAUCGGGAGGAAUACCAGUGGCGAAGGUGGCCUUCUGGACUGACACUGACACUGAGGUGCGAAAGCGUGGGUAGCAAACAGGAUUAGAUACCCUAGUAGUC